AUACAUUCUCGCACCAACACGGAACGUAAACCGUCGUACAUACCGCGACAGUUCCAUCUUUGGUCAUGGAGACGUCAGUGUGGAUACUUACACUCCACGUCGUGGUUCAGACCUUGUCGUCCUCAUGUCGGUGAAGGUACGAUCAUAAUGUCACCAGAGAAGGGGUAAAUACAGAAGGGAAGAGCUACAUCUUUACCUGCACGCGCAGUCAACCCAAGCCGUCUGCACCGUUGGUGAUUUUUAAACAGGGUGAUACCACCUACUGUCGGUUUGACGCCAAUAAUGGAACAAUGUUGACAGACGUAAUGGGACGAGAGUGUGGUGAAACAGGGACGACUUCCAAAUUUUAUUUCAAAUUACUUCGCACGUAUCGGAACCAUUCAAGUACGGACUGGACAUGUCAGUCUGGGGAACAGAAGAGCAACAAUGCGAGAUUAGAUGUGUGAAACCCCCGGCUAUAACACAGUUUACGGCAAACGGUGUAUCCAACGUCUCCGAGGUCGACAUCAACGACACUGUCACUAUGCUUUGUCGGUAUGAAGGACAGCCUCGCCGACGUCAUUAUCAGGAAGCAGAGUCGGAGUCUACAAACCGUAGUCAACGAUGCCGCUGUACAGUCCACUGUGAAACCAGUGAGUUGUCACGAUAUGGCGAGGUAUGAGUGCCGGGCGUCAAACAGAUUUGGAUCCGUGUCAUCAGAUAUUAAAAUGUUCGUCAGAUGUCCUCCGCCCCCUGAAGGAAGAACCACAACGUCCCUUGAAGGUGACGUGACCCUCACCCUGACAGUCAUGGCGUAUCCAGCGCCGACCUUCACCUGGUUUCACCCUCUUGGAAACAUGGUAGACGUUAACAACGGUUCUCUCACCAAAGACCUGAACGUUAUCAGCAGGAUUACAAUCAGAUCUGUCACCGAAGAUGACCUUGGAGUGUAUAAGGUUAUUGUGAAAACGACAUUGGAUCAAACAAUUUCACCGUCUUACUCGCCAGAGAAGAGCCUGUGAGUGGAGGACUGGUCACCGGGCUUGUUAUCGGCGGGAUUCUACUUCUGGUGCUUAUAGUUGUCGCCGUCGUCUUGAUCAACAGACACUCCAGGGACAACGACAACGACUUAGAAAUGGACAUGGUGGACAGUGCCGAAGAGGAUGACGCAAACGGGAAUCUGUAUGCCAAGGUUAAUAAACCACGUAAACAAGUUAGUGGUGGUUCCAAUUUCAGGGAAGAUCCAAGUCAUAUACACGGUCGCAAGACAGGGGGUGGAUGAAGACGACCUGCUCUACGUUAGCGUGGAUGUUGAAGACCCACCAGACAGCAAUGGUUUCGUACACAGUACUGAUGAUGCUACACAGUAUGCCGACCUGGCCAUCAACCAGACAGGAGCUCAAGACACAAACUAGCACCAAACAGGACUAAUGAUGCCACGCACUACAUCGACCUGGCCAUCAACCAGACAGGAGCUCAAGAUAUACACUAGCACCAGACAGGACUAAUGAUGCUACGCACUACAUCGACCUGGCCAUCAACCAGACAGCAACGGUUUCAUACACAGAUCUAAUGAUGCUAAACCGUGUGUUGACCAGGGCCCAUUUUUCUGGUAGCAUUCGUACUUGCUAUACUGUAACAUUGACUUACGAUAGAACUAGCGCUUCAAGAGCUUUGUGAAACGGGGCCCUGGCCUCCAGUGAGACAUUUUCAUACAGAGUUGCUUACCCUAGUCGUGCCAGGAUAUACUGAACAUGAGAUCGAAUCUCCAAUUCGAUUAAGAUCCUUAGUUUGUCUCAAAGACACCCAUGGAGGUCGGUUCCCCUAAGUUGAACAUUGCUACUGUGAAAGAGUCAUUUUGCCCCAGAUACACCAAUGUGAUAUCAUUGUACAGUUGUAUAUCAGUAAUUGAUAUUUUGUUCAGUUGUAACAUUGACAAAGAAUUCUCAAGAACAGACUACUAUCACUCAGGGCGAUACGUUUCGCUAAAUAGUUAUGUGGCGACAACCACCUGUUAUUUACAACAAUAACAUUUCUUUGUAGAAAUAUGUUGUACAAUUAUAAAUGUGUGUGAACGUUAUUAAAUGUGUGUAUAUAUACUGUAUAUAUGAAUAAAGAAUACAAUAUGC